UACAGGCCUCGACUUCAUUUAAACAGGUUCUUAUAAGAAUCCAGUUUUUACAAACUCUUCCAAAAACUUUAAUCUCGUGUGUGUGUUUUUUUUUAUUUACAUAUAUAUAUGUAUAAAGAAACAAAUUUUUUUAAGACUUGUGAUAUCUUAAAUUAAUUUUUCAUUAAAAAAUUUAUUCUAAAUACAAAAAAAUAGAAUCGUCAAAACAAACCAAAAAUUAGUAACUUAAAAAUUGUAAAUUGAUAUAAUUAAAUUUUCACAAUUAGUUAAAAUUUAAAAAUUAAAAAAAAAAUAAUUUUUUUUCGCACGAAAAAAAGAAAUUUUAUAAUAUUAUAAAUUUUAAAAUACUGACUAAAAAAUAAGUUAGUAAAAUGUAAAUUUAACUGUCGAUGCGCGCAAAAAUAAUAAAUUUAUGUGACAUGAAAUUUAAUUGCAAUAAAACAAGGAAAUACAAUGUUGAAAAAAAUUUUGAUGAAAUAAAAGCCUUUAUACGGAGACUCGCUUCUAAGGUUUCAAGAGUACAAUAAUUAAACAAGCAAAAGGUUUUUUUUUUCUCCAUGUCUGUGGGGGUUUUGUUUCCCUACAACAUAUGUAUAUGUGUAUACUAAAAACGCACGUUAAGGGUUUUAAAAGGUGUCUCGUGCAACAUACGGAUCGAUAUAAUUCUGCCAGAAGGGAAAGGAUAGUUUCACCUCCAAGUUAUAUACAAGAUGCAGAACCAAAUUAAUUAUAAUUUAAAAGUUUUGGUAAGUUUAAUUUUCAUUUAAACGAACUUUAAUUUAACUAAAUUUUCAUUUACCUACC